rnacentral:rRNA from 1 species
AACGAACGCUGGCGGCAUGCCUAACACAUGCAAGUCGAACGAGACCUUCGGGUCUAGUGGCGCACGGGUGCGUAACGCGUGGGAACCUGCCCUUAGGUUCGGAAUAACUCCCCGAAAGGGGUGCUAAUACCGGAUAAUGUCUUCGGACCAAAGAUUUAUCGCCUUUGGAUGGGCCCGCGUUGGAUUAGCUAGUUGGUAGGGUAAAAGCCUACCAAGGCGACGAUGCAUAGCUGGUCUGAGAGGAUGAUCAGCCACACUGGGACUGAGACACGGCCCAGACUCGUACGGGAGGCAGCAGUGGGGAAUAUUGGACAAUGGGCGAAAGCCUGAUCCAGCAAUGCCGCGUGAGUGAUGAAGGCCUUAGGGUUGUAAAGCUCUUUUACCCGGGAUGAUAAUGACAGUACCGGGAGAAUAAGCUCCGGCUAACUCCGUG